UAGAGGCUCGCGAAGAGCCCGGGACGCGCGCCGGCCGCUCAGAGCCGGGCCGCGGCGGUUCCCGCGCGGACCCCGGGCCGCACUCGCUGCCCGUGGGGCCGCCGACCCGGCGAGGAAGUCUCCAGGAGACGGUGGAUGGCGGCGAGGGUGCGGCGCCCAGGCCCUGCGGGCCAGCUGCGGGAUCCCCUGGGUCUGGGCGACGAACUGCGCGACCUCCUUUCGCGGGGGGAGAGGUCUAGCUCCCGGGACCCGGCCCCGGGGGCUCCCACCAGUCCUGCGGCGGUCUCCGCUGUGGCCAGGCGAGGCGCUGGCGGCCCGACACGGUCGCGGGCGCCCGGGCCGAUCGCGCGGCCCGCCCCCUCCCCGCGCGGCUCUCCCGCGCUCGCGCACUCCCGGGUCGAGGUCAGGGCCGGAGUCGCGCCCGCACUCCCGCGGCCACCUCAGCCCGCGAACGCUCGCCCGGCCCGACCUACUCACCGCGGCUCCGCGCCCUCCCCCACCACCACCCGCCACUCGGGGCCGCGGCUGCCCCGAGCUCCCGGCGCGCCGGACGCCCUGCCCGCCGACCCCUCGGGCGCCCGGCCUGUCCCGGGAGCCCGGCAGCCCGGGGCGGCCCCUUCUGGAGGGCGGCUUCCCAGCCGAGCGCGCGCGGUCCUGGGCCGCCCCGCACGCCUCCCCAGGGCUCGCGCCGCGCGGACUCGACUUGGAGUCUUCGGGCGCCGCCGGGAAAUGCCAGCCCCAGAAAGGGAGGGGGUGGGGAGAGACGGGGAAAGGGGCGAGCAGGAGCGGGGCCUAAGGAGGGAGGCGGGAAAGAGGCGAAGGCGCAGAAAAGGGGCGAGGAGAGAGGAGGCAGGAGAAAAAGACGGGAGGGAGGGGGCAGUUCUCACGCCUGGACCCUUUACUGGGCUCAGCCUAGUGAGCCCCUCACCGAUCCAAGGACCAGGGUCGGCCAAACCCCACCCGCCCGCUGCUUGCCCCAGGGCUGGCUUCCAGACCAGGGGCACACUGAGGUUAGAGGCUCCCCAGAAGCCACGACUGGUCCCGUGGAAAAGAGUGGGGUGGGCUAGAAAAACCUAAGGUGUAUCAAGGUGUCCGGGUGAAGAUCACAGUGAAGGAGCUGCUGCAGCAGAGACGGGCACAUCAGGCAGCCUCAGGGGGAACCCAGUCCGGAGGCAACAGUGUCCACCUUUCAGACCCAGUCCCACCAUCUUCUGCAGGUCAGUA